GUUGAGCUGAGGAUGAUUUAAGUUAUCCCUGUCUGAAAUGACACUUUUGUGAAGAGUCAUGGUUUACUGAGGCUCGAC
rnacentral:snoRNA from 1 species